rnacentral:rRNA from 1 species
UACGUAGGUGGCAAGCGUUGUCCGGAUUUACUGGGUGUAAAGGGCGCGUAGGCGGGAUGGCAAGUCAGAUGUGAAAUCCAGGGGCUCAACCCCUGAACUGCAUUUGAAACUGUCGUUCUUGAGUACUGGAGAGGUAAGCGGAAUUCCUAGUGUAGCGGUGAAAUGCGUAGAUAUUAGGAGGAACACCAGUGGCGAAGGCGGCUUACUGGACUGUAACUGACGUUGAGGCACGAAAGCGUGGGGAGCAAACAGG